rnacentral:rRNA from 1 species
AGCUAGAGUUUGAUCCUGGCUCAGACAAACGCUGGCGCGUGGAUUAGGCAUGCAAGUCGGACGUAGGCUUUAUCGUAAGAUAGAGUUUGAGAGUGGCGAACGGGUGAGUAACACGUAGGAAUCUACCCUUAAGACGGGGACAACCCAGGGAAACUUGGGCUAAUACCGGAUGAGAGUGCGAGAGAUUGCAUUUAAAAGGAUGGCGAAAGUUGUCGCUUAGGGAUGAGCCUGCGGUCUAUUAGUUAGUUGGUGAGGUAAGAGCUCACCAAGGCGAUGAUAGAUAGGCGGCCUUAACGGGUGGUCGCCCACACUGGGAUUGAGAUACGGCCCAGACUCCUACGGGAGGCAGCAGCUAAGAAUAUUCCGCAAUGGACGGAAGUCUGACGGAGCGACGCCGCGUGGAUGAAGAAGGCCGAAAGGUUGUAAAGUUCUUUUGCUAGGGGAGAAUAAGUGUGGGAGGGAAUGCCUGCACGAUGACAAGGACUAGCGAAUAAGUCCCGGCCAAACUACGUGCC